rnacentral:rRNA from 1 species
UACAGAGGGUGCAAGCGUUAAUCGGAAUUACUGGGCGUAAAGCGCGCGUAGGCGGCCCGGUAAGUCCGCUGUGAAAGUCAAAGGCUCAACCUUUGAAUGUCAGCGGAUACUGCCGGGCUAGAGUCCGGAAGAGGCGAGUGGAACUCCUGGUGUAGCGGUGGAAUGCGCAGAUAUCAGGAAGAACACCAACGGCGAAGGCAGCUCGCUGGGACGGUACUGACGCUAAGGCGCGAAAGCGUGGGGAGCGAACAGG